AGAGUUUGAUCCUGGCUCAGGACGAACGCUGGCGGCGUGCCUAACACAUGCAAGUCGAGCGGAGACAGUGAGUAGCUUGCUAUGAACUGUUUUAGCGGCGGACGGGUGAGUAACGCGUGAGCAACCUUUCCCAGACAGGGGAAUAACACACCGAAAGGUGUACUAAUACCGCAUAAGACCACGGGAUCACAUGGUUCUGGGGUAAAAGAAUUAUCGGUUUGGGGUGGGCUCGCGUCCGAUUAGGUAGUUGGUGAGGUAACGGCCCACCAAGCCGACGAUCGGUAGCCGACCUGAGAGGGUGAUCGGCCACAUUGGGACUGAGACACGGCCCAAACUCCUACGGGAGGCAGCAGUGGGGAAUAUUGCACAAUGGGGGAAACCCUGAUGCAGCGACGCCGCGUGAGCGAAGAAGUAUUUCGGUAUGUAAAGCUCUAUCAGCAGGGAAGAAAAUGACGGUACCUGACUAAGAAGCCCCGGCUAACUACGUGCCAGCAGCCGCGGUAAUACGUAGGGGGCAAGCGUUGUCCGGAAUAAUUGGGCGUAAAGGGCGCGUAGGCGGCUCGGUAAGUCUGGAGUGAAAGUCCUGCUUUUAAGGUGGGAAUUGCUUUGGAUACUGUCGGGCUUGAGUGCAGGAGAGGUUAGUGGAAUUCCCAGUGUAGCGGUGAAAUGCGUAGAGAUUGGGAGGAACACCAGUGGCGAAGGCGACUAACUGGACUGUAACUGACGCUGAGGCGCGAAAGUGUGGGGAGCAAACAGGAUUAGAUACCCUGGUAGUCCACACUGUAAACGAU
rnacentral:rRNA from 1 species